GCAGAAGAAAGAGGAAGCUGAGAGAGAACUGGAGCAGCUGAAGACCAAGAACACUGAGAUUGAGAAGAAGCUCCAUGAUGAGAAGACUAAAAGGGAGGAAGCUGAGAAAGAAGUGAAGAACCUAAAGAAAGAGAUGCAGACCAAGCUGGAGGACAAACAACAAGCAGAUCAAAUACAGUUGAAGA